AAUCCGAAGAAUCCUUGAUGACUCUGAACUGAGGGAAGAGACCAAGAAGAAAAUUGCAAUUGAACAGGAACGUCAAGAGCGGCUUAAAUCUCUGGAGGCUCAGUGUUCUACCAAAUCUGUUAUGAUGAAUUCCAUGGCCAAUAACGGGAUUUCACUUGAUGGCGCUGGGCAUGAAGUGCUGGGUGAUACCUCUUCAGGUUACAUAAUAAACUUGGUGAGAGAGGACGGUGAAGAUGCUGUGAGGAUUCCUCCCAGUAUCUCAACAAAAUUAAAACUCCACCAGAUUGCAGGGAU